AACGAACGCUGGCGGCAUGCCUAACACAUGCAAGUCGAACGCUCGUAGCAAUACGAGAGUGGCGGACGGGUGAGAAACGCGUGGGUACCUGCCCUGUAGUACGGAAUAACCGCGGGAAACUGCGGCUAAUACCGUAUACGCCCCAAGGGGGAAAGAUUUAUCGCUACAGGAGGGGCCCGCGUCGGAUUAGCUAGUUGGUGAGGUAACGGCCCACCAAGGCGAUGAUCCGUAGCUGGUCUGAGAGGACGACCAGCCACACUGGGACUGAGACACGGCCCAGACUCCUACGGGAGGCAGCAGUGGGGAAUAUUGGACAAUGGGGGAAACCCUGAUCCAGCAAUGCCGCGUGAGUGAAGAAGGCCUUAGGGUUGUAAAGCUCUUUCAGCGGGGAAGAUGAUGACGGUACCCGCAGAAGAAGCCCCGGCUAACUCCGUGCCAGCAGCCGCAGUAAAAC
rnacentral:rRNA from 1 species